rnacentral:rRNA from 1 species
UACGAAGGGGGCUAGCGUUGUUCGGAAUUACUGGGCGUAAAGCGCACGUAGGCGGAUCGAUCAGUCAGGGGUGAAAUCCCAGAGCUCAACUCUGGAACUGCCUUUGAUACUGUCGAUCUGGAGUAUGGAAGAGGUGAGUGGAAUUCCGAGUGUAGAGGUGAAAUUCGUAGAUAUUCGGAGGAACACCAGUGGCGAAGGCGGCUCACUGGUC